GAGUGACCUUUGAUUAAAACAUGGUCCUGCAGCUGAAACACACUGAUGAAGUGAAGAUGACACAGAUCCACAUUAAAGACGUGACGUUGGACCGAGGUGACGAUCAGAUCAGAGGGAGGAAGGUUAUCUUACCGUGCACGAGGAUCACAAACAUCACAAACAUCUUCAUCUUCCUGUCACAACUACAACAAGCACAAAGUCUCUUUACUGAGCUUCACUUCAGAAACACAUGGAGGACAUCAGUUCACAGCCAGUCGUCACUCUGCUGCUGCUGACCGUCCACUGACUCCAGGACUGAACUGGACUUUCACUUUCACUUCGAGCUGUUUCCAGUAAACCACCUGUUGGAAGCUGCUUCCUGUGACGCCCACCUGUUUGAGGUGUUUGAGAAGGUUUGACACGCAGCACUCUGCAGGUCGCAGGUGACUAGAGAGCCUGCAGUGAUACAGUCAGUGCUGUAUGGACUCUAGCAGCCUAGUUAAUGUGGUCAGUCAGGGACGUAGUGCAGAAAACCAGACUGAUAGCUGAGUUUGUAACACUGAGACUGUCACCUUCCCUCACCACUCUCUCACUGAAUCAUCCUCUAAAUGUGUAAAUCACAAUAAUCUCAUGUUGAUCUCCUCUGUCAGUGGGGAAAUGUCUCAGCAAACAGCAUCUGUGAAAUUACUGCCAAAGUAAAUAUACUAAAGUAUAUUCAGCACUCAGAUUAUUUGUUUCAAAAUAAGAGUUGUUUUAAAUCCGACUGUUGAUCCAAUAAAUGGCUUUAAAAAGUGCUGAUUCAGCUGUAAUCUGUAAUGUAACUAGUAACUAAAACAGUAUUUUCAACAAAUGUAGUGGAGUAAAAAGUUCAUGUUUGCAGAAAUGGAAAUACUCAAGUAAAGUACAAAUACCUCAGAAGUGUAUUUAGUGCAGUUCUGAAACUAAACCUGGGCAGAGCUCAUGUCGCCCUCUGGUGGUUGUUUACGGGAACAUCAGUGAUGAACUCUGAGUGUCUGACAGGAAUGUUAGAAGUCAAAAUAAUCACAAACUACUUUAUAAUAAAGUGCUCAGUGUUCACUUUGAUAAGUUUCUCAGAGUUUUAAAGUUUUUAAAGAAUGAUUUUCCUCGCUGGCUUCAGAUGAACUGACGACCUGUUAGAGGCUCAAACUGAUCAAACAUCACAGAAUAACAGAAGAAGUAAAUAUGAAUUAAUCUCAUAUUUGCUUUAAAGAGGCUUCAGUGUUUGUUUCUGUUGCAGCUUUAUUGAUCUAUCAGUUAUGAUCCGUUGAUCACAUCGUGUCCUGGACUGCAAACAUGAGACAAAACCAUCACACAGUGCAGAACCACCAGAACAGAUUCCAGGAACACGUCCAGUUAUUUAAGGCAGAAACGCUCAGAAUCUAAUAAACAGCUGAAGUCUUUUUUUUACAGUACAACAUCUGUAAACCACAAACAUGAGAUCAUGUCAUACAUACACUGGAUCCAGAGUCCAAACUGGACCAAACUCAACACUGCACUUCUGUAGGUCCUCAGCAACAAACCGGUACCGUGUGAAGUAGAACAGAUCAACGUUUGUCGAGAUAUGUGAAUAAAUUCAGACAGUUUCCAGACGACGAGGCCUCAAACACUCCACUUCAGUCUGUGAGGUCCCGGAGUUGAAGUCUCCUGAGUCCACAGAACCUUUUCUGGUCCAGUUGUUUCCAAUGAGCAGAAUGUGGAGGAAUGCGGUCCAGUUCAUUCAGCUCUGGACCGACCGGCACCGCCUGGAUCCAACGCUGCUGAUCCCCCCUCAGUGUUUGUGAGCACAGUCAGCAGCAACUGUGACCUCAGAACAUUCGUCUGCAAAACCUCCACAGCAUCAAAGUCCAACAGUCUCAGUGUGGUUAGUCUGACAGCGACUACAUGAGGCCGUGUGAUGAGUCUGAACCGUGGCGCCUCUACAAGCUCCUGCCACACUCCAGCUAACCUGCUAAUGUGAUCGUUUACAGGGUUGUUAGCACCAAAAAGCAUCGAUACACAACUCAGAGCUGUUGGUUCAAAGCGCUCCGAUGGUUCAGGCGCGUCGCGUAACAACGACGACUGCAACUGAAGACCUGAACCGGCUGGUGGAGAGAGACAGGAUGACGGCCAAUAGGAGGUCCUGAACUCAGAAGUGUACUGAGGUCCAGCAGUGGAAACGUUGUCAGAGGUAAUAAUCCUGCUGUGCUCAUGUCGCCCUCUGGUGGUUGUUUACCAGAACAUCAGUGAUGAACUCUGAUUGGCUGACAGGAAUCUUCAUCUGAUAUCUUAUAAUCUGUUCUUCAUGUGUUUCUGUG